CCUACGGGAGGCAGCAGUGAGGAAUAUUGGUCAAUGGGCGCGAGCCUGAACCAGCGAAGUCGCGUGAGGGAAGAAGGUCCUAUGGAUGGUAAACCCCUUUUGUCGGGGAGAAAAAGACGCCACGCGUGGCGUACCGAGAGUACCCGAAGAAAAAGCAUCGGCUACCUCCAUGCCAGCAGCCGCGGUGAUACGGAGGAUGAGUGCGUUAUCAGGGUUUAUUGGGGUUAAAGGGUGCGCAGGGGGAAGAUCAAGGAAACGAUAACAUUGAGAGGCGAAACAUCUGCGAGCCGUUGAAACUGGUUUGCUUGAGUGAGCGAGAGGUAGGCGGAAUGCGUGGUGUAGCGGUGAAAUGCGUAGAUAUCAGGCAGAACUCCGAGUGCGAAGGCGGCAUACCGGCGCUCAACUGACGCUGAGGCACGAAAGUGUGGGUAGCGAACAGGAUUAGAUACCCUUGUAGUC
rnacentral:rRNA from 1 species